rnacentral:rRNA from 1 species
UACGGGGGGGGCAAGCGUUGUUCGGAAUUACUGGGCGUAAAGGGCUCGUAGGUUGCCAACUAAGUCAGACGUGAAAUCCCUCAGCUUAACUGGGGAACUGCGUCUGAUACUGGAUGGCUUGAGUUUGGGAGAGGGAUGCGGAAUUCCAGGUGUAGCGGUGAAAUGCGUAGAUAUCUGGAGGAACACCGGUGGCGAAAGCGACGUGCUGGACCUCUUCUGACGCUGAGGCGCGAAAGCGUGGGGAGCAAACGGG